rnacentral:lncRNA from 1 species
UAGUCUAUUAAUGAAGGAGCAGCUAGAUGGAUAAAAAUACACGACACUUUUAAUAAUUAAAAAAGACAACCCAGUUGAAGCAUUUGGGGACUGACAGGUGAGCUGGCAUUCAGUUGCGUGGUGGGAAUGUCCAUCUUUUGAUUUUUGAAGGCAGGAGGAACCUGGGCUCACCUUGCAACUCAAGUGUGUUAUCAUGAGUACUGCUUUAAAUUGAUCACAUCUCUCUUCGUCUUCAGAGUGUUAAUUUCCCUGGUUGGUCUUAGAACAUAUAUUGGUCCCCAAUCAGGAAGAAGGAUCUCACAAAUAGGUUCUGCUAGAAGUUGGGAAAGGUCCUUUUGGACAAAUUCACUGGUAGUUAUUUGUGUUACUUUUUUCUCAUCAAAAUUUAUAUAAUUUGUGCAAGUUCUGUUUGCACAAAACUAGAUUUCUAUCCCUUUGACAAGCAAAGUGUGCGUGCAAGCAGAAAACAUUCUUUUUAAAAGAUACAAACUUUCCCCUCAGAUGCCUGUAAUCCUUAAAAGAUCAUGUAAACAAAGCAGCCGUCAUAAUAAUUUUGCAUAAUUUGUAUUAAUGUAUUAAAGCAAGAUUCCAACAUGCAUUUGCAAUUAUUCAGCUAUUCCCUUACUCAUUCAGAUUCACACUGGAAAAAAAAAAGAAUGUCAAAGUCACACUCCAGCUGCUGACUUAAUUUGACCUCAGCCUCCAAAUUCUGUAAGUGCUUUUGAGAAACACUUGUAAUUUAAUAUUUCUUGUGUCAAAAGUUUGUAUUAGAAUUUCCUUUUUAAAGGGCUUCUUUUAGAGUGCCAUUUAAGCAGCCUGUCAUUACUCAUCCGCCCCCAAGGUGCAGGGGUGGUGAUGAUGAGUAACCACCCCUUUAUUCAGUUACUCAGCUGAAUAGAAGAGACUGCUUUAGGUCCAGUCAAACUGUGUACUCCCUAGUCUAACUUGUAACAGCUUUCCAGGGUUUUAGACAAGGGAAAAUCCCAGCCUUGGCUAGAGAUGUCAGGGAUCAAACCUCCUCCACUCAAAGCAGUUCUCCAGCACGGAGUGACAACUGCGAGCGCACUGUGGAUGAUGCCAAGCCUGCGGCUCUCAGAUCUUGGCUGGCUGGAGCAGAGCAAGCAGGAACUGGGAGAAGACAGGAAACAAGCCUCCAAGAUUUACAAUACAGGGAUCUCAUUCUGGAGCGAGCCAAACUAAAUAACAGAGGAGACAAUCGGAGAUUCGUUAUACAGAAGGCAGAGGAAAUAAAUAGUCAUGAAACAGAACCAACGGCACGGAGUUUGAAAUAUAUCCACAGAAGCUCUGAAAUGCAGGGACGUUCUUUAUGGAUUAAGUGCUGUCAGUUGUCUGUGGAUUUUGAUGCCUCUCAGUCAGAAUGCCCCCAUUGUGACAGUCGUUUUCUAACUUUCUGCCAUCCAGCAGAGCGUCUUCCGAAGAACAACAAGAUGGGGAAAGUUUGUUUCUUUGUGCCAGGCUGCACUUGGAGACAUAAGACUUGCCCUAAAAACGGCUCCAUCCCAAACUCUGUAGAGCAAAGACAGCUUUCUGUUUUUAGCAGUGGUUCCCAAAUGUAGGUCCUGAUAUGUUGCUAUCUAUUCUCCAAAGCCCCAGACAACACAAACCAAUGGGCAGGAGAUGU